rnacentral:rRNA from 1 species
CGCGUAGGUGGCGCGACAAGUCAGUGGUGAAAGCUCGACGCUCAACGUCGAGUCGGCCACUGAUACUGUUGGGCUUGAGCACUGUAGAGGCUAAUGGAAUUCCGGGUGUAGCGGUGGAAUGCGUAGAGAUCCGGAAGAACACCGGUGGCGAAGGCGGUUAGCUGGGCAGUUGCUGACACUGAGGCGCGACAGCGUGGGGAGACAAACA